UUCCGGUUGAUCCCGCCGGACCCCACUGCUAUCGAGGUGGGACUUAUCCAUGCUAGUUGAACGACCCCGGACUAUGGCGGGGAAGUGGCACACUGCUCAGUAACACGUAGCUAACCUAACCUCGGGACGGGCACAACCCCGGGAAACUGGGGCUAAUACCCGAUAGGCGUGGAAUCCUGGAAUGGAUCCACGCCCAAAGGUCAGCGCGCCCAUGUCGUGCGCGCACGCCCGAGGAUGGGGCUGCGGCCGAUCAGGCUGUUGGCGAGGUAAAGGCUCACCAAACCUUUGACCGGUACGGGCCAUGAGAGUGGUAGCCCGGAGAUGGGCACUGAGACAAGGGCCCAGGCCCUGCGGGGCGCAGCAGGCGCGAAACCUCCACAAUUCACGCGAGUGAGAUGGGGUUACCUCGAGUGCCGUCUGAAGAAGGCGGCUUUUCCAUGGUGUAACAAGCCGUGGGAAUAAGGGGGGGGCAAGACUGGUGUCAGCCGCCGCGGUAACACCAGCCCCCCGAGUGGUGGGGAUGAUUAUUUGGCCUAAAGCGUCCGUAGCCGGCUUUGUAAAUCUCUCGUUAAAUCCAGCGUCCUAAGCGUUGGGCUGCGAGAGACACUGCAGAGCUAGAGGGUGGGAGAGGUCAGCGGUAUUCCUGGGGUAGGGGCGAAAUCCAUUGAUCCCAGGAGGACCACCAGUGGCGAAGGCUGCAGUCCAGAACACGCCUGACGGUCAGGGACGAAAGCUGGGGUAGCGAAUCGGAUUAGAUACCCGAGUAGUCCCAGCCGUAAACGAUGCAGCUAGUGUUGGGUCGGGCCACGCGCCGCCUCAGUGCACAGGGAAGCCAUUAAGCCUGCCGCCUGGGGAGUACGGCCGCAAGGCUGAAACUUAAAGGAAUUGGCGGGGGGAGCACCACCAGCGUGAAGCUUGCGUUUAAAUUGGAUUCCAACGCCGGG
rnacentral:rRNA from 1 species